AAAUAAUUACAAAACUAGACACAAAAAUCAAACCAUUCUCUCCCCGCCUCCUCUCUCCUACAUCCUCCUCCUCUGCCGCCUCCUCUCUCCUCCCCUUCAUCCUCCUCAUAUUCGCCCAUUGGAUUUUUGCAAAAGGCCAUUAGCCUGACCCGCUACCUGAGCUCAGGCUACUAGUACCAACUGAAAUCCAGCACAAGGAAACAGGAAAGAUGGAUUGUUCAGCAUCGAGUGGUGUGAAAGUGGAAGAAAACGCAGGGGCAGAUAGGGGUGUUCAACAGUAGAAAACCGACACAGGUACUAGUGGUGGUGCUGGUUCGGUGCUAGCACGGUUCUGGUAUAUACCUAAUUUGUACUGAAUUUUUUCUCCCUCUUUUGUCAACUUUUGUAAAAUCAACUGUGCAAAUUAAUUAGUCAUGCAAUCAAAAGAUAACCAACACAGAAUCCUUAAUUCAUCUAAACAAACAAAUACCUGUUGUAUAUUUCAACAAAAAUUAUGCCAAAUCAUAAAAUAUUCAACCUAAACUCACAUCUCAAAAGCCCAAGCACAAAUUCCAACAAAAACCUUAAAAACAAAAAGACUUUAAAGGAGAAGAAGAUGUUACCACCACUCAUUCAAGUGUUACAAUCUUGGAAUGAUUUGUGAAAAAGACAUAUUUUUGUGUUAUUUUGUCUGUGUUCAUGUAUGAUUGGGAGAUAAUAGAGUAAUUUGUGCGUGAAUGAAUUGAGUGAAAGAUGAGGAGAAUGAGAAAUACAAGUUAGAUCUAUUGUGAGUAAGAAGAGAGAGAUGGGUGAAGACAAAGGGAGUACUGUGUUUGUGUGAAGAGAAAGGAGUGGGUGGAUAGACAGAGAAAGUUAGUGGGGUUAAGUCACAAAGUUAGUGGAUAGAGAGAGAAAAAUGUACAUUUUAUCUACAUGUAAAAUAUGUGUAUAAUAAUAACAUAAAAACGUAUUUUAGUGAGAGCAGAUUCUCUGUCCUCUUGUGUUCUUCAUUUAAAUUAAAUUUUGACACAUAUCUUUUUAUUUAAUUUUAGAAUUAAUUAGUGUUAAGUGAGAGACUAGAUGUCAAAAUUUAAAUGGAGGGACACAAGGGGACAGGGAAAUUGGGGACAAAGGAUCUUCUCGUAUUUCAGUAU
rnacentral:lncRNA from 1 species